rnacentral:rRNA from 1 species
AUUGAACGCUGGCGGCGUGCCUAACACAUGCAAGUCGAGCGGUAACAGGCGUAGCAAUACGUGCUGACGAGCGGCGGACGGGUGAGUAACGCUUGGGAAUCUACCCAGUAGUGGGGAAUAACUAGCCGAAAGGUUAGCUAAUACCGCAUACGUCUUUCCUCCACAUCGGAGGAAAGGGAAAGCAGGGGGACCGAAAGGCCUUGCGCUGUUGGAUGAGCCCAAGUCGGAUUAGCUAGUUGGCGGGGUAACGGCCCACCAAGGCGACGAUCCGUAGCUGGUCUGAGAGGACGACCAGCCACACUGGGACUGAGACACGGCCCAGACUCCUACGGGAGGCAGCAGUGGGGAAUAUUGGACAAUGGGGGAAACCCGUGAUCCAGCGACGCCGCGUGUGUGGAGAAGGCCUGCGGGUUGUAAAGCACUUUUAGUGGGGACGAAAAGCUUCAGGCUAAUAUCCUGGGGUCUUGACUUAACCAAAGAAAAAGCACCGGCUAACUCUGUGCCAGCAGCCGCGGUAAUACAGAGGGUGCGAGCGUUAAUCGGAAUUACUGGGCGUAAAGCGCGCGUAGGCGGUUUUGUAAGUCGGGUGUGAAAGCCCCGGGCUGCAACCU